GAUGAAGAACGCAGCGAAAUGCGAUAAGUAGUGUGAAUUGCAGAAUUCAGUGAAUCAUCGAAUCUUUGAACGCACAUUGCGCCCCUUGGUAUUCCAUGGGGCAUGCCUGUUCGAGCGUCAUUUGUACCCUCAAGCUUUGCUCGGUGUUGGGCGUCUUGUCGUAUUACGACUCGCCUUAAAUACAUUGGCAGCCGGCACUUUGGCCUAGGAGCGCAGCACAUUUUGCGAUCGUAGCCCGUUGUACUGGCGUCCAUCAAGAACAUUUACCACGUUUGACCUCGGAUCAGGUAGGGAUACCCGCUGAACUUAAGCAUAUCAAUAAGCGGAGGA
rnacentral:misc_RNA from 1 species